CUGCUUGGAAUCACAAUUUGAUGGUGAUGUCUUUGAUGGUGAUGUCUUUAGUACUGUUUGAGAUGCUUCUGUGGUUCGACAGACGCAACAAGUUAUUGAUCAGGCAAAUAGACUAGUAAGGUUGCUAAGGUAAUCUCAGUUAUAUUUCAGGGAACAGGAUUAUCAUGUUAAAAUUUGCAUUGAUUUUCUGGUGAGAUUACAUAAGAAAUAGGCCUUGUGUAAAAUUUGAAGCAUAUUAUAAUGAAAGAUUUCUGGUCUCUGGGGACAGGUAUCAGCUUCUGUACUCAAUGUUUUGGGGAAUUAAUGACAUUGUCAAUAGCCUUUGAUAUGUUGCCCCCUAUGAAAUAAAAAUAGAGAAUAUCAAUGACAAACGGAAUGAGUACAGCAGAGACCAAAAAGAAAAAAGCAGGAAAAAAAAACCCUACUGAAUUUUGUGUGAUAAGGCUUUUAAUUUUUAGUGGGAUUGAUGAAAUUCGCUGUUUUGAAUUACUAUUAUGGGUAUGAUUAUUCAUUUCAAUGAUGGCUAUGGCUUCUGCAAAUAUCGUUGAAAACCAGUUUUUCUCCUCUUGAGUUGGCUUAAGAUGAAAUAAAUUCAAAUCUGGAAGGGACUAAUCCCCAGCAAAGUAGCAAACUACGAUUUGAGUUUCUACUAAGAAUGGCGCCAACAUUUAGUGUUUACUAUUUAGUAGAAACCGGAUGAAAAUACCCUCAACUGAGACAAAAUUUGUGUAUUAUUCUUGAAUUAAUUCUAGAAUUCAAGAAUAGCAGAGGUACAGAAAUGAAAGGCAGCAUAGGGUGUUUCACAGAUCCUGCUAUUUUUUCCCCUUUUUUUGUCUCUCUAAUUCUGUUCUUUUAGCGAUAUGGGUUAACUUGCUGUUUUGGUUUCUUUUUAUUCCCUUAGUCUGAAGUAAGGAUGGCCUCAUAAGAAAGAUACCUAUAGGAAACCAAAAUCAUGAUUUGAAAGGAUAUGGGAAAAAAACCUUACUUUUGCAAUCUCUUGUCCUUGCUGUCGAUGAUGCCGAGGGACAAUAAUAGUCAUUGUAUUAGGUUGUUGCUGUUUAAGGGCAUUGUGAACACCUAAUGUUAGUGCAGAGAAAGCAAUCAAAUAUAAACAUAUUAUAGGAAAUAGAAAUUAAUGAGUAUGAAAACAAGGACAGUAGCAAACUAAUUCCACCAAUUUAAAGUAGUCUUCAAACUAAUAAGUACAACAAUCUGUAAAGAUACAAGAGAAACAUACCAUGAAACAGUAUAAAGUUUGUAAAAUAGAUGAAUUCCAUGAAUUUAAAAUAACACAAAAGGAGGCCAAAGUAUGAACAAUCUGUAAAAUCUGAAUUCCAUUAAUUUAAAAUCACACAAAAAUAUGAAUUCCAUCAAUUCCAUGAAUUCCAUGAAUUUAAAAUCCAGAGGUAUAGAAGAAGGAACUGAGUUUCUUCUUGUCGACUAUGAAUAGAAGAAGCCAUCCAAACCUUGUUUUGUGUAAGCUCUAGUCUCAGAUUGUG
rnacentral:lncRNA from 1 species